rnacentral:rRNA from 1 species
CCCUUAGAUGUUCUGGGCCGCACGCGUGCUACACUGAGUGGAUCAGCGGGUCAGGUUGCGCGAAAGCGUUUCCUAAUCUUUAAAUCCGCUCGUGAUGGGGAUUGACGGUUGCAAUUUUCUGUCAUGAACGAGGAAUACCUUGUAAGCGCGGGUCAUCAUCCCGCGCUGAAUACGUCCCUGCCCUUUGUAUACACCGCCCGUCGCUCCUACCGAUUGAGUGGUCCGGUGAGGCUUUGGGAUCUGAGCGGAAAGAGCGUUUCGCUGUUUCUGCUCGGAAAACUCAGUCGAACCUUAUCAUUUAGAGGAAGGAGAAGUCGUAACA